UUAUUAUUACUUCUUGGCUCGGCUGGGUCUUCCUUGCUGUGUGCGUCGUCUCUCCAGUUUUGGCGAGUGAGGACUAUUCUUCAUCACGGUGCUCGGGAUUCUCAUUGCACGAGGUGGCUUCUCUUGUUGCCAACCACCGGCUCUAGGACACAUGGGCUCAUCAGCUGAGGCAAGGCUCAAUAGUUGAGGUGCGUGGCUUUAGUUGUUCCUCAGAUGUGGGAUCUUCCUGGAUCAGGGAUCAAACCAAUGUCCAUGCAACGGCAGGCAGAUUCUUAUCCAGUGUACCACUACGGAAGUCCCACUUAAUUCUUAGUAACAUUAGAAGUAGAUACUAUAUCCAAAUCCUCAUUUUACAGAUGAGGAAACUGAAGCGUCAGUGGUUGAGUAGAACUUGCUUGUGGUCACAUAACAGUGGGUGGAAGCGGCAACUUUCCAAAUCACUGGCGGUGGAAUGUUCCGGUCCUGCUUGGGUGAAGAUAUUUUACAUCUGCCCGACUGAAGGGUACACAAUGCACUUUACAAGUGAUUGUUCUGCUGUCUUCUUUAGCUGCGUCUGUGGUGUUUGAAUCUUUUUUUUCAACAUGAGAUAUUAUUCCAUAAUCACAAGAACAAAAGUGACUUUCCUGUGUUAAGGGGAAAAUAAAGGGAGGCCCCAAAGAAGACUCACCCACCCUGCCCUCCUUGCUGGAAGGGUACCUGAUCUGCCACCACUUGGGGUUACUUGGCAGAAAUGCCAGAACCCAGAGGCUGUGUGCCCCACUGUAUGCUGGGCCCCCGCAGCCACUAGGAAGUGCAAGCUGGAAGUACCCGGCAGGAAUGGAGUCACUUAUGAUUCCAUGAAUGAGUGUGAAGUUGUGAAAAUGUACAGUGACCAGGCAAUAGAAGAGAGCUGGGACUGGCAGAACUCAGAGUCCCACCAGAAAUACCACCAGGGACACCACAGCUCAUCUUCUGAGAGCUCAGAGAGGCCCUUAUGACGCAGGGGGAGCCCCUGACCUUCCCGGGCUGACCUCACUCUGGCUUCCCUCACCCGUUGACCCUGUUUGUCCCAGGCUCACGGGCUGCGUCAGGUAGGGGUGACUCUAAGGGAUUCGGAUUUUCACCUUGAAGCUCCCUGCUUCUAAAAGGCUGGAGGCUUGCCUAGCAGCCUGGUGGCUCAAAGUACCCAUGUGCCCUGAUCGUGGAAGAUGAUCUAGGGUGGAAGGGGAGGGAAGGCUGGCAGAGGCCAGGACAGGGGCAUCUCUGGUGGGCCUCGGGGGCCCCAGGUCAAUGGAAGACGUUGUCUCUCCCUGCCUUCCCUCCUGGGGAAUCCUCCUUCCUCCGGCACCCGGGGCUGCCUCCAGGGCUCUGGGAACGGCGUCCUCUCAUUCAUUCACUCAUUGCUUCUCACAUCCAUUAUUGCUCAGCUUACUGAGUAUUUACACUACGUCAUUUCAUUCAUUCAGGAACAGCCUUUUGGCAGCAGUUCCGCUGUCCGCAUUUUACAGAUGAGGACGGUGAAACCAGUCAAGGCUCAAUAACUUGUCCACGGUCACCCAGCCUAAAGUCAUCUAGAUGGAGUCACACAGUAUGGAGACUUUUGAGUCUGGCUUCUUUUACUCGGCCUCAUGCAUCUGAGACUCACCCACAUUGUUCAUGGACCAGGACUUUGUUCCCUUCCACUGCUGAGUAGAAUCCCCCGUGUGGAUAUAUACGGGGUAAAUACCUAGAAUUGGAUCACGGGGUCAUAUGGUAAGUGUAUGAUUAACUCUCAGAAACUGCCAAGCUGGUACUCCCCUUGUGGUCCAGCAAUUAAGACUCCACCUGCCAAUGCAGGGGACCCAGGUUCGAGCCCUGCUCUGGGAAGACUCCACACGCUGCAGAGCCGCUGAGCAGCAACUACUGAAGCCUGGGUGCCUGGGGCCUGUGCACUGCAACAGGGGAUGCCACGGCAAUGAGGAGCCCUGCACUGCAAUGAAGAAGAGCCUCCGAACGCCGCAGCGAGAGAAAGCCCACACACAGCAGCAAAGACCCAGCGCGGCCAAAAAACUAAUCAAUUUUAAAAAUAUAGUUUUAAAAAGGAGUAUAGAAAAGAAGAAAAAAGAAGCUGCCAAGCUGCCUUCCUGUAUGCUUUCGCACUCCCAUCAUCAACAGCAAGACCUCCAUUGCUCACAUCUUCACCGGUUCUUGGCAUAGUCAGGGUUUUCGUUUUUGCUUGUUUAUAAUUUUAAUCAUUCUGGUGAGGGUGUAGUAUCUACAACUCUUUUUUUUUUUUAAGUUUACGAAUGUAUCGAAAACAUCAUGUUGUACAUCCUUAAUCUAUGCAAUUUGUUGUCAAUUAUACCUCAAUAAAGC